rnacentral:rRNA from 1 species
AUUGAACGCUGGCGGCAGGCCUAACACAUGCAAGUCGGACGGUAGCACAGAGAGCUUGCUCUCGGGUGACGAGUGGCGGACGGGUGAGUAAUGUCUGGGGAUCUGCCCGAUAGAGGGGGAUAACCACUGGAAACGGUGGCUAAUACUGCAUAACGUCGCAAGACCAAAGAGGGGGACCUUCGGGCCUCUCACUAUCGGAUGAACCCAGAUGGGAUUAGCUAGUAGGCGGGGUAAUGGCCCACCUAGGCGACGAUCCCUAACUGGUCUGAGAGGAUGACCAGCCACACUGGAACUGAGACACGGUCCAGACUCCUACAGGAGGCAGCAGUGGGGAAUAUUGCACAAUGGGCGCAAGCCUGAUGCAGCCAUGCCGCGUGUAUGAAGAAGGCCUUCGGGUUGUAAAGUACUUUCAGCGGGGAGGAAGGCGGUGCGGUUAAUAACCGCGCCGAUUGACGUUACCCGCAGAAGAAGCACCGGCUAACUCCGUGCCAGCCGCCGCGGUAA